AUGCUAUUUUUUCCAUUCAUUACCUUUGAGGAUCAGUCGUGGUCUUCUAGACUCUACCAAAAGUCUGGACGAAUUUGUUGUUUCAUCCAAAUGUGUAAAAGAUCAUAGUCGCACUUAAAAGCCGAGUACUCUACCAUUGAGUUAGCAACCCAGAUAAAAAAAGGAUCUUAGAUACGAUCGAAAUCCAAAAAUCAAUGGAAUUACACCGCGCGCUUCUGUCAAAACAUUGAACUAGCAAGACAUCAAAAGAUUUUUUUUACUGACCAUGAAAAACACUCAAAUGCCAAAACGAACAGGUCCGGUGAAAUUCCACUAAAGUAAAGUUAAAAAAAGAGCGACCCUAAUCACGAUGGCCAAAUUCUCCUUAUUUUUAGCGAUUAAUU